rnacentral:tRNA from 1 species
GGGUGUGGCGCAGUCCGGUUAGCGCGCCUGCUUUGGGAGCAGGAGGUCAUGGGUUCGAAUCCCGUUACC